rnacentral:lncRNA from 10 species
AUCGAAUGGAAUUAUAGAAUGCCAUCAAAUAGAAUCAUCGAAUGGACUCGAAUGGAAUCAUCGAAUGGAAUGGAAUGGAAUAGUCAAUGAACUCGAAUGGAAUCAUCAUUGAAUGGAAUCGAAUGGAAUCAUCGAGUGGAAUCGAAUAGAAUCAUGAUCAAAUGGAAUCAAGUGUAAUCAUCAUCAAAUGGAAUCAAAAAUAACCAUCAUCAGUUGGUAUUGAAUGGAAUUGUCAUCAAAUGGAAUUCAAAGGAAUCAUCAUCAAAUGGAACCGAAUGGAAUCCUCAUUGAAUGGAAAUGAAAGGAAUCAUCAUCUAAUGGAAUCGCAUGGAAUCAUCAUCAAAUGGAAUCGAAUGGAAUAAUCAUCGAAUGGAAUCUAAUGGAAUCAUUGAACAGAAUUGAAUGGAAUCGUCAUCGAAUGAAUUGAAUGCAAUCAUCGAAUGGUCUCGAAUGGCAUCAUCUUCAAAUGGAAAGGAAUGGAAUCAUCGCAUAGAAUCGAAUGGAAUUGUCAUUGAAUGGACUCGAAUGGAAUCAACAUCAAACGGAAUCAAACGGAAUUAUCGAAUGGAAUCGAAGAGAAUCAUCGAAUGGCCUCGAAUGGAAUCCUCUAAUGGAAUGGA